UUGUGUUUGUGAGAGGGAGCACGUGAGAGUGUGUGUGUAUAAGUGUGUGUGUAUGCAUGAGUGAGAGAGAGCAUGAGAGGGCGUGUGUAUGCAUGUGUGUAUAUGCAUGCUUGUGUGUGUGCAAGAGAGUGUGUGUGUGCACAUGAGAGAGUGUGUGUUUAUGCAUAUGUGUCGAUAUGCAUGUUUGUGUGUAUGAGAGAGAGCAUAUGAGAGUGUGUAUGUGUAUAAGCGAGUGUAUGCAUGAAAAAGAAUGUGUGUGUAUGCACGUGUGUGUGUGUAUAUGCAUACUUGUGUGUGUUCAAGAGAGAACACAUGAGCGUGUGUGUGCUGGAAAGCAGCAUGUGUGUGCAGGUUCCUUGGGAGCCAUAUAUAUGACUUUUUUGAGACAGCAUCUCUCAAUGACCUGGAACUCACUGGUUAGGAAAUAAGCACUAAGCCUUUGCCUACCUGGCACUGGGAUUACAAGUGUGCACGACACACCCGGCUGUUUACACUGCUUUGGGGAACCAAGCACAUGUCCUCACGCUUGAGACCCAAGCACUUUGCUGACUGAGCGGUCUACCCACCCCAUUUGGAAGUUCCUACCCAUGAAAUUCAAAUUCAGAUGUCCUUAUAUGUUCCCUCUCUUUGGGACCUGCUGUCCCGUGUUGGCCGACAGCCAGCAUCUCCGGAGGCCCUGGCCCUCCUCUGCCAACGGUGACUCUCCUGGUAUCACAAGAGACACUGUUGGGAAAGCCCCUGUGUGGGGCUGGCGUGUGUCUCUGUGUGGGUGCCGACUGAGGGCUUUCGUCACAAUGGCUGCCCCAGAAUCACCCUGUGGCUCUCCUGGCUGCACGCUGUUGUGCUCUGCCCUAGAGAUCCACCGAGCCCUGCCUUCUUUCAGGGCCCUGUGGGUGGCCCGGCUGCUCCAAACAACUGGGGGCCCAGGAACCCUGGGCCCCUCUGCAUGAUGGUGUUGUCAUGACAGCAGCUGUGUUCCCAGCCGCUCAGACCCAGAUGCAACCAAGACGCCCUCUCACGGGGGCACAAAAAUGGAAACCACGGGGCGCAGGUGGCAGUGGGGACCAGCCACAGAGCGCCGGUCACCAUGAGAGACAAAGGGAAUCUGAGUCCAUAAAGGGGCCGACCUGCUGUGGGAUCCGUGGUGAGGGGUGCUGCAGCAGACAGAACUACAGAGACGAAGCUCCAGGGGUGUCAGGAGUCCAGAGAGCAGGGAGGGAAAGUGGGGAGCACAAAGAGGCUCAGGGCUGUGAGCUGUGCUGGGUGAGGUUGGAGCGGUGAAGAACUGUCUCCGUAUAUUAUGAAAACCAGGGUGUUGAUGUUAAUGGUGGCAUUAAUCAAUUAUUGUGUCUCGGACUGACUAGACUACAGUGUGCACAAAAGUCUCAAAACAAGGGAGAUGCUAAUAGUGAGGAAGAGGAUGGACCCGGAUAGGAGGAAGAGGUCUUUUGUACUCUCUGCUCAGUUUCCCCAAACUACUCAAAAAAUAGUCUACAUACAGCCGGGCGGUGGUGGUGCAUGCCUUUAAUCCCAGCACUCGGGAGGCAGAGGCAGGCGGAUGGCUGUGAGUUCGAGGCCAGCCUGGACUACAGAGUGAGUUCCAGGAAAGGCUCCAAAGCUACACAGAGAAACCCUGUCUCAAAAAACAACAACAACAACAAAAAGUCUAAAUACGUAAAAAAUGCCACAUGAUCCGUGUAAGCAGUCUGGACUUGAAAUCUACCUGUGCAACCAACUAGCUGGACAUUCCUGCACCUGUUGCUCAACCUCUCUGGGCCCUGUGCUGCCUCACCUGUCAGCAGAUGUCUCACUGGCUUUUUAGGUUUGUCCCUCAGUGUGUCAGAAGCCCAGGAGGGGGAUGGGCACCAUGUCUUCACCUAUUAUCAUUUAGUAUUUGGACGAGAUCCUUAGCCUCUCCACCUCAGUUUCCUGGUCUGUAAAAUGGGCCACAUAAUAGCACCUCCCACGGGGUUAUGAUGAAGUGUCUGAAUGAGUUGGUAGAAGAGUUAGCCUAAAGGACAUGCUGUAGAAGGACUUGCUGCUGUCAUUGUUGUUAUUAUCAUCACAGUCAUUGUUAUUGAUAUUGAUCCUUCAUUACUGUUAUUAUCAUCACAGUCAUUGUUAUUGUUAUUGAUACUUCAUUACUGUUAUUAUCAUCACAAUCAUUGUUCUUGUUAUUGAUACGUCAUUAUUGUUAUUAUCACAAUCAUUGUUCUUGUUAUCGAUACUUCAUUAUUGUUAUUAUCAUCACAAUCAUUGUUAUUGUUAUUGUUAUUGAUCCUUCAUUAUUGUUAUUAUCAUCACAAUCAUUGUUAUUGAUAUUGAUCCUUCAUUAUUGUUAUUAUCAUCACAAUCAUUGUUAUUGAUAUUGAUACUUCAUUGUUGUUAUUAUCCUCACAGUCAUUGUUAUUGUUAUCGAUCCUUCAUUGUUAUUAUCAUCACAGUCAUUGUUAUUGUUAUUGAUCCUUGGCUCCACAGACAGUCACUGGUGGCCGCUGUUGUUUAGUGGCACAGGAAGCAGGGGGCAGGACACAGACUAUCAAUAUCAGUUCUGUCCCUGAAAAUCAAUUACAGGUACUAACAUGUCUGGCUUCCUUUCAGGGAGGUGGAGACACCCCACGUGGUUGGUUCUAGCCCCCAGUGCCCACCUUUCAUAGCCCUCCUCGGGGAAGGGGAAGACUGUGAGGGCUCAGGGCUCACUCUCCAAGGGGGCGUCCGACUGCGGGCCAUUUUGCAGCGUGUUCUGAAAUGAAGCAGUUAGUCAGGCCCAGAUCCUGCUCCCAGGCCGGCCAACUGCACCUCUCACGGGGGCUGCUGGGACCUCUGCCCUCCAUGCCUUUCUCUAGCUACUCAAGACGGGCUUGCUUGUAUGACCUCAGACCUCAGGGCUCCUCAGGCCUGUGACUUCCUGCCCUGGGACAUGGCUUACAUUUGCUGAGGGUGUGUCCCACCUGCAGGGACCUGCUGGCACAGGCAUUGAAACCCAGGAGCAGCGGUCGACAGGGAUACCCUCGGCCAACGGGCAGAACAGCAGGCCCGUGGGCAUCUGAGGUCCAGCGGCUCUGCUGUCCUCGCACAUAAGCCCGGGCCUGGCACUCUUGCUCACUCUGUGUGUCUUUGGUUCUUGUUUCCCCAAGUGGGUCAGAACAUUACAAAGGCGCAGAGUGGCUUCUGUACAGCUCUUCCUGAGUGGACAGGGUGGACUCGCUCAGAUUGUUCACAAGGAGGGAGAGAUGGGUGGGUCAGUGAAGUGAGUGGACAAGUAGGUGGGUGGAUGGAUGAGUGGGAGGGUGAAUAGAUGGAUGGAUGGAUGGAUGGAUGGAUGGAUGGAUGGAUGGAUGGACGGACAAACGGACGGACGGACGGAUGGAUGGAUGAAUGGAUGGAAAGAUGAAUAGAUAGAUGGAUGGAUGGAUGAGUGGGAGGGUGAAUGAAUGGAUAGAUGGAUAGAUGGACAGAUGGAUGAAUGGAUGGAUGGAUGGAUGGAUGAGUGGGAGGGUGAAUGGAUGGAUGGACAGAUGGAUGGAUGGAUGGAUGGAUGGAUGGAUGGAUGGAUGGAGAGGUGUCACACUCCAACCCUACCCUGUCUCUACUUGUGGGGUCAACUGUCAACCUCAAAUCCACCCCCACCUCUGGGUUACAAAUGUUCCCAAGUCCCUACAAACACAUUGUGUUCCUGGCAGCCCUGAAUACAAACAGAGCCUUCAGGAAGGACCUCGAAAUGUGGGGUACAGGAUAGGGUUCCCUGGGAGAGGAGUGGGUGUAGUCCGUGGGUCAGACCACCACCUAUGACCCUCGUGGAGCUGCUUCCCUGGUGGGCAGGAAUGAAAGCAGCCUCAGACAGACCCACCCAUGCCAGGCCAGUCCCUCGGGGCCAGGGCCCCGGUGGAGACUCACAAAGCAGCCAGUAUCUUCAAUGGCCCUGAUAGGGCCUUGGGCCGGGGCGGUGUAGUUUGUACAGCUGCAGCCAGCGCACACACAAGCUCUUAGGUGACUGGCCAGCAGCUCCGGACAUUAAACCCAACACCUUCCAGAUGCCCAGAGCCGCCCGUUAGCACCAUCCACACACAUUCCAUCUCCAGGUACACAUGCAUACUCAACACACAGCCGCUCACACGGGGCUAUGUAAAUUCCACAUUGCACGAGAGCCUAGGUCACGACUGGAAAUUCCACAUGCCGCUUACAGCGAGCGUGUGCCUGAGCCGGGGAGUCAUGAGCUGGGUUUCAAAGCCGUAAGUUAGAAGUCCACUCCAUGGCACCUGCCCGGUGACCAUCUUUUUUCUUUUUCUUUUUUUUUUUUUUUUGGUUUUUCGAGACAGGGUUUCACUGUGUAGCUUUGCGCCUGUCCUGGAACUCACUUGGUAGCCCAGGCUGGCCUCGAACUCACAGAGAUCCGCCUGGCUCUGCCUCCCGAGUGCUGGGAUUAAAGGCGUGCACCACCACCGCCGGGCCAUCUUUUUUCUUAUCACUGGGCUGCAGAUUGGGUGUUGGGAGGCACUGAGCACACUUUCCAUGCUGGAAUGAACCCUGAGAUUUCCAGCCCAACAAAUGCGAGGCUUAGUGGAAGUUAGGUCCCCUGACCCCCGCCGCCCCCAGCUGGCUGCUCUGGCCUCACCUAGGCUCCAGCAGUCCGUGUGGCCCCAGACACAGAGGCCAGGCCCCCCGAACUCCCACCCUUAAUGAUAGUCUCAGGGCUACUUUUUGGUUUGGUUUUGAGGCAGACACUGGACUCCAUACCCCAUCCUGACAUAGGAAGGCCGAAAUUGCACACGGGCCCUACCGUAUCCAGGUUUAUGGGGAUCCGAACUCAGGUCCUCGCAUUUGAGUGGCAAGAACUUUACCACUGAGCCACCGCCCCGGCCCCUGGACCCCAUUCUCAACAGGGUCCCUUCUCUCUCCAGCCUCCCUUUUCUGUGUUCCCCAGGUUUGCUGAUUGCUCCUUACUUUUAUCGUGGCUCACGGGCGUGGCUGGGGGUAGUCACGUGCAAGAUCAGCCAAGCCGGCCCUUCGAGAGAAGCUAGAAAAGGUGAAAGGUUAUCACGGUCACCCUGUGCAGUUGGAGAUAUCGUUGGGGGCUUAGGAGUGUAUCUCAGUGGAUAAGGGAGGUGUGUGAGUUACUUUGUUCAAAGCUGUGAUAAAAAUGACUUAAGGAAGAAGGGUGUUUUGGCUCCGAGGGAACCAGUGGGUGGUGGGGACCAGGAAAUAGCUGGUCACACAGGUUUCAUAGACAGGAUGCAAAAGAGCCAGGAGGAAGCAGGAUCAGGCUAUCAAACCUCCAGGCUCACCCCAGGUGACCUACUUCUCCCAGCUGGGGCCCAUCUCCUAAGACCCCACAACCUUCCAGAACAGCUGGGGACCACAUAUUCAAACACAGGAGCCUGUGGGGGACAUUUCCAGCUGCGUAGCAGGCUACCACGGACUCCCCACCAGGCCUUGAGGAUCAGCUGAGUGUCCCUUUGGUGUCACUGAUCUCUUUGACAGUUGGAUGAAGCCCAAGCAACUGUCUUAAGCAUGUUUUUCAGGGCUGGAGAGAUGGAUCAGAGGUUAAGAGCACUGACCACUCCUGCAGAGAGGCCCAAGUUUGGCUCCCAGCACCCAUGUGGCAGCUCACAACUACCUGUAACUCUAGUUCCGGGAGAUCUAACGCCCUCUUCUGGCCUCCUCAGGUACUGCACACACAAGGUGCACUUACAUACAUGCAAAUACACACACACACACACACACACACACACACACACACACACACAUCCCAUAAAACUAAGUAAAUCUUUCUAAAAGGAAAGCUUUUCCAUAUGCAAUAUUAAAUGGACAGGAGGCUGUGAUGCUGUAACCAGGCAGGCCUCUCCACGGAUGUGUCAAAGAACACACUCCCAGGGGAGGAAGGCGUUUGUGCUGCUCCGAGGUAUUGACAAGAAUCAGUGCUAUUUUUCCAAUCGUUUCAAUAGCUCUAACAUGGCAGCAGGUCUCUCUGAUCCUGACUGAGGAUAAAGCCCCAGAGUCCCAGGGGCUGCUGUGGUCUGUGGUCUUUGUUCUUAGCGGAAGGGAGGGCACCGGGAGUGAUCAAAAUGAAGGUAGUUUUUCCUUCCAUCCAAGUUCUGGGAUUUUAGGUUCUGAGCCCGUGAGCAGGGAGACACGCCUUGCUCCUUAUGGGGAACUCCAUCUCAGGCUGCAGGUGUAGGGAGGGUCCCCACAGCAGCCCCUGGGACUAUUCCCAAGCGGUGGCUUUCUGAAAAAGCCUUCAGUUUGUGUUCCUGAGGAUGUAAAAUAACAAGGGUGGGGACUGGAGAGAUGAUGGCUCAGUGGUUAAGAGCACUGGCUGCUCUUCCAGAGGACCCGGGUUCAAUUCUCACCACCCAUAUGGCAGUUCACAACUGUCUGUAACUCCAAGAUCUAACACCCUCACACCACCAUACAUUCAGUCAAAACAUCAAUGCACAUAAAAUAAAAAUAAACUUUUAAAAAAUAGCAAGGGUGACAGUGGCAUUAUGCAUGGCCUGGCAGAACCCCCAUUCCAUGGGGAAAAGCAGGUUAUAGCUAAGUCCACUCAGGACUAAGUCCACUCAGGGCUGCACCUUCUACUGGCCCUCCUACCCUGUGGCUUCUCUUCUGAGCUUGGGAGCCUCCCAGAAUCCUGCUGAGAAGGGCUAGUAUAAAGAACCUCACACCACCUUGAUGGCUGUCCAACAGGCCAAUUCCCUCUCUCCCAGCCCCCGCUGCUAAGUCAAUGGCCUGGUUCUGUUACUCUAAAAGUCAGCCUGCUGUGGAGCCCUUGGGAAGAACUGGUCAUGGGCGAAGGCUGGGCAGAGCCCUGGUGACUUGCAGCUGGCCCGCCUGUCUCUUUAUCCCCAAGGCCCCUGUGUGUACGAAAGGGCCUCAGCUACCUGGCAAUCUCUCUCCCGUAUGGGCCCAGGACCCAGGGCACACAACACACUUCCCCCUGGUAAAUCAGUGCGUCUCAGUGUGAAUUGCGAGCUGAGCCGGGCUGUCUCAAUCCCCUAUGCAGCAUCUGCCGCUUCAUAUUUUACAGAAGGUCUGAGUGAAUUCCGGACUAAUGGGGCAGGAUACGAAAGGGACCACAAAGCCACAGGCGUGAGGAUAAAUGGAGACCGAGAAGAAAUCAGUCCGUCUUCCCUGCCUUCAUGCUAUGUUUUUGCUUGUUUGAUAAGUUGUUUUAAAAUUCGGUUUUCAUCCAUCCAGGCGUGGUAGCACACACUUGUCAUCUCAACACUGGGGAGGCAGAGACAAGAGGAUUGCUGCAAGUUUGAGUCUAGCUAGAACUAUGUAGAGAACCUCAGAAAAAGAAAGAAAGAAAGAAAGAAAGAAAGAAAGAAAGAAAGAAAGAAAGAAAGAAAGAAAGAAAGAAAGAAAGAAAAGAAAGAAGAAAAAGAAAACGAAUAGGAACUUUAAAAAGCUGGAUUGGAUGGGGAAGAGCCACCCACAUCAUUCCCUGGUAACAAAAGAAAAUACCACCAAACAGAAAGAGCAAUAGAAAUGCUGGGGUUCCAAGUCUCAUGUAGCUGGAACUUGGGGUUCAUUAUUCAUGGGCCUUUCCAAAAUGAAAAAUCUUCCUUCUCUAUGAGUCUCUUCUUCCAGUCAAUACUGCCACGCUAGCCCACCAUUUCCACUCCUGUACAGUAGUACCCCAGGCUGCUGGGGCUCCAGCCUCCUCAGCAUUCAUCCUUGACCCUGCCUCUGGAGAGUCACAUUCUGAGUAUGGCUUUACUGGGGAUUGUACAGCUGGGGACACUCAGGAUCCUAGUGCCCUUUCUGUGGUCCCGAAGCUUCUAAACAACAGGCCGUAGGUUGAGACACCCCACUCCUGCAACCUCUCCUCAGUCAUCAGGAAUCCUGCCUUGCAACUCCUGGCGAGGUGUGGGAGGCCAGCUCCCACCUUUUAAAAGGGUUUCCUAUGAGGAGGAGAGAGGGAUAAGAGAUUAGGUCGAAAGAGAGACCUAGUUGACGAGAAAAAAGACAGAGACACAGGAUAGCUUUGGGAGGACCUGAGUCAAAACCCACCGGCCCCAUCUCUCUCUUCAAAAGGCCUUUUUAUAACAAUGUCAAGGGGCGGGGCCAAAGACCUCCCCCUUGCUAGAUCAAAGCACACCACACAGCCAAGUGUAGCCCCUUCCAAACACCUGGUAACCACGCCCGUGGUCCAAUCAUCCCCUUAUGCAGCCCUGCUAAGUAAAGCAAGCCUAGAUUCUCGGACCCUGAGUAAGUUCUCACUAGGAAACCUGUGUGGGUCCCGACAGUGAAGACAGAAGAGACGUUAUAGGGGGAAAUGAUGGGUGGUGAGGGAGAAUGAGGCCCCGUGGGGCUCACAGCAUGGACCGAGGAGGAAACUCCUUGGAAAGCAGGAAGGAGCAGCACCUGGGGACACGGUGAGGGCAGGGCGCGCUCACUCAUUUGCUUAUUGCUUUGCAUUUGCCUGGCAAAUUUACAUAAAACAAAGCAGACUGGGGAGGCUGCCCUGCCAGCAGGAAAGCCUGAGGUCAGAUCCCCAGAGCAUGUGUACACACACACACACACACACACACUGGCAUGGUGGUGGAUUCCUGGAACCACCGCCUUUGGGGACAGAGAUGAGUGGAUCCCUGAGCACGCUGCUCAGCCAGCUUAGCCGAAUCAAUGGGCUCUGGGUUCAGGGAGAGAUCCUGUCCCAGAUGGAAUCCAGUAGUGGCUUGUGAUGGUCUCCCACAGCUUCAGGGCAGGGUGUCACUUGUCCCGGCAUGCACUGCUGGCUGUCACACGUCACACUGCCUGGCUAGUUGUGUUGGCAAUUGUGAGGGUGAGGUGGCGAUGAGGACAAGGUCGGGGCUUUGAGGCAGGUACGGGGCAUAUCUGCCUGGCCUCUUGCCAGACUUGGCACCUGAGUGGCGUAUGACCCGGAACGUCAGGCCCCACUAGUGAUGCCCACUGCCUGUCUGGGUGCGUUAUACUGUUGACCAGCACACGAAGGAUCUCAGCUCUGUCUACAAGACCCUGUUACCAAGAGGUCAGGCAGACGAAGCAGAUAGGAUGCUACAUUUGAGGUCCACCCCAUCCAGGGUCCCAUCGGGUCAAAUUCUGAGGCUCCUAAUAGCCCCUCCAGGGUGAGGGGGCACAGUGGCACCCAUGCCAUUCUAGGACAACUAAGAGUCAAUGUUUCCUGUAGUCACACCUUGCUAACCAGAGGUGACCACAGGAUGCCACGGGAGUCACAGUCACAGCUCAGUUCUGCUGAACUGGGUCUCCAAAGUCCUCUCCCUUACAGGACACAUGUGAACACGCCCACAGACAUGUAUACAAAUACACACACACACACACGUGCAUACACGCACACACACAUACACACAGGUAUGUGUAGGGCACACCCUCCCUGCCCCAUCAUGUUGCCUCUGUUGACCACAGUACACACAGGGCUGAGCUGAAAUGAGAAAAUUGAAGCUUGGAGAGAGUAGUU